AGAGUUUGAUCCUAGCUCAGGAUGAACGCUGGCGGCGUGGAUAAGGCAUGCAAGUCAAACGAUCUCUGUAUUUAUAUAGAGAAAGUGGCAAACGGGGUAGUAACAGGUAGGUACAUACACAUGAGUCAGGAAUAACUGCAGGAAACUGUAGCUAAUACCUGAUAGUUCUCUACGGAGUAAAGAUUUAUCGCUCAUGAAAUGGCCUGCUCGGUAUCAGCUAGUUGGUAGUGUAAUAGACUACCAAGGCGAUGACGCCUAGGGGAGGUGAGAGCCUGACCCCCACCAUUGGAACUGCGACACGGUCCAAACUCCUACGGGAGGCUGCAGUCGAGAAUCUUCCGCAAUGCACGAAAGUGUGACGGAGCGACGCCGCGUGAUGGAUGAAGUAUUUCGGUAUGUAAACAUCUUUUAUAUGUGAAGAAGUAUAUUGACAUUAGCAUAUGAAUAAGGGGUUCCUAAACUCGUGCCAGCAGGAGCGGUAAUACGAGUACCCCGAGCGUUAUCCGGAAUUAUUGGGCGUAAAGGGUCCGUAGGUGGCUAUAUUAGUCGAUUGUUAAAAAUCCAAGCUCAACUUGGGGAGGGCAAUCGAAACGGUAUGGCUUGAGUGUGCGAGGGGUCUGUAGAACUCAUGGUGUAGGGGUGAAAUCCGUUGAUAUCAUGGGGAAUACCAAAAGCGAAGGCAGCAGACUGGCGCAUUACUGACACUAAGGGACGAAACCCUGGGUAGCGAAUGGGAUUAGAUACCCCAGUAGUCCAGGGCCUAAACGAUCUUGAUUAGUUUUCGGGAGUAUCGACCCUCUCGGAGACGUAGCUAACGCGUUAAAUCAAGCGCCUGGGAAGUACGAGCGCAAGCUUAAAACUCAAAGGAAUAGACGGGGACUUGCACAAGCGGUGGAUCAUGUGGUUUAAUUCGAUGAUAAACGAAGAACCUCACCAAGGCUAGACAUUUUAGUCAGGCUCGACAGUAGAAAUACAUACGAGAUAUUGUGCUAAAACAGGUGUUGCAUGGCCGUCGUCAGUUCGUGGUUUGAAUUGUUCCCUUAAGUGGGGUAACGAACGAAACCCUCGUCGUGUGUUUUACAUGUCACGCGAGACUGCCCCCUUUCUGAGUAUUAAUUACUUAGUAACCAGAAAGGGGGGAGGAAGGAGAGGAUGACGCCAGGUCAGCAUGACCCUUGAUGCCUUGGGCUACACACGUGAUACAAUGGGAGAGACAACGGGUCGCGACGCAGUAAUGCUGAGCCAAUCCUUCAAACUCUUCCUCAGUUCGGAUUGGGGGCUGCAACUCGCCCUCAUGAAGUCGGAAUCGCUAGUAAUCGCGGGUCAGCUAUACCGCGGUGAAUACGUUCUCAAGUCUUGUACUCACCGCCCGUCAAGUCAAGGGAGCCGGGGGUGCCCGAAGUCUGCAUUUAUGUGGCCUAAGGUAAACUUGGUGACAGGGACUAAGUCGUAACAAGGCACGGCUAGCGGAAGCUGGUCGUG
rnacentral:rRNA from 1 species